AGUCCAACGCGUUUGGGGUAAUGGAGGCUGUUCCCCCGCUCCCCCGCCGCCUUUAAAAGGCAGAUCCUUUAUUUUUAAAGUCCUGGUACGAUAGGCGUCACGGAGGGACGCACAUCAGUCUGCCUGUUCUUCCGGUCCAGAGACAAGGUCGCCGCGAGCCCCAAUGAGUAGUUUUAACUUUCGCCUUACCCUCCCGUCCUGACGUCACGGCUCUGAGGAACAGCUCGGUGCGCGGAGGAGGUUCUGAUGUCCUCCCUGCUCACAGAAGUGAAUGUGUCAUGGAAGGAGUCAGAGUAACCGUCCUUGGUCGAAGUCACUGCACUCACACCCCCAUAGGCCACUCUGAGCUAGUCCUGAUUUGGCCUGUGCUCUCAGAGGGGAGCAGACCAGAAGGGGGUGGCUGGACAGAGCUGCCAGCGGUGGGGAGAGCAUGCCCAGACUGAGGCAUUAGGGGCUACGCCCCUGGCACACACCAGAGAGUGGCUUCACAGCUGGACACACAGUCUGCACGUAUGACCUAAUUCUGCACAAGUCUUGGACACACCUCGUACCUGCAUGGAGUGUCCGCCCAGGGGGUGCAUGCAUCUCUGACGCUGCUCUCCCACCGGAGAGGAUCCCUUCGGAAAGUUUGAUGGACUUCACAGCGCUCUCAUAAGCAUGUCCUCAUUCUGAGACAUUCACUCGGUGAGUGACCUCUCACCCAGGUGUUCACAGAUUCCCAUCUCGGUGGCUGAACACCAGACCGGAGCAUAUGCUCAUGCACUUGCGCCAUCGCUCGUCCACGGACCUAACCCUACCCGAGGGCCUUGAGGGCCGCUGGACCCUGAGUAGAGAAAGCCAGACCUCCGGGACAAAUAAAGUGGCUGAGGGCAGAAAACCCAUCUUCACACAAUCACAGACAUACACACUCACUCAUGCACGUCCUCCUGGCUCAAACUCAUUUGCUUACGCCUCUGCCGUGCCAGGCUGUGAGGGCCCCGGGGGAGCGCUCUGAGCAACGAAAAUCCACUUCCUUCAUGUCUGAGACUGGUCCCCAACCCUCGCCCCUGCCUAGGCAGUGGUGGGGUACAAAGGUAUAGCCCUGGUGGAGAGCCAGGGUGAGGCCGGGGUUGGGGACUGAGGGUGUGGAGGGGGCUGGAGGCGCGGUGCGGUGGCGCUGAGUAGGAGCGGGGCCGGGGGCGCUGGUGGGGAACCCGGGUGGCAUUGACUUUUGCGCUGUUUGCCCGCGGCCUCGGAGCAAGCAGACGCCAUCUGUUUGCCGGCUGCGGCGCGGCGCGUUUAAUUACCCUCCCGGCAGCCUAAUAGAGAUGAUAUUAAACUAAAUCUUUCUGACAUUAAAAGUAAUUAUCCUCAAACCAGUGGCUCCGGGACAGAACCGCCCCUCCCAUCCCUACCCCUCCCCUGGCCACUCCAGAUUCCGUUAGUUUGGCUGAAACUCCUUACCCGGAGGGGCGUGGAGAAAAGAGGGAAGGUGCCUUUGGGAGAAGGAUUCUAUGAGGGCCGCCUCAAGCACGCUGUUUCCUGCACAACCACGGGCGCUCUUGUGCAUACGACACGCGCGUGGAUACUCACACACCUGUACACGCAUAGACACACAACGACAACAUUUUCCUCCGGAUCAACUCUCGAGCCACGUUAAGACUGUCAGCCGCGUGCACCCCCAGAUGGACAGGGAGAAGCGCAGCCUGGCUUGCAGUGCAGGUCCCCAGCCCGCUAAAACGGCUUUUGCGUGGUCAAGGCCAUAGAUCCGGCCUAGGCCAGGACCAAGGACCCGGGUACAACUUUGCAGCCAGAAAGACCCUCUGCUAUCGUGGCGCUUGACUUCUCAGGCACUCUUCCUGUGAGGGACCCUACGCCUUGCCCUUCCUUCACAGUGUCUUAAGUCGCACCACGCUCUGUCUCUGAGACGCAAGUCCAGUUACCCCACUUGACAGGUGAGAAAACACUCAGAGAAGCGAGGCAACUUGACCCACAUCUUACAACUAGUACAGGACAGAGCAGAAUUCAAACCCAGGCGUACCA